rnacentral:rRNA from 1 species
AGUGGAUGGGGAGCAACCUAGUUGUGCGUGUGUAAAGGUAGUGCCAAGAAAAGCGGUGAUCAUGAUGAAAAUCAAUUCCCGGUACCCGAAACCGACACAGGUGGGCAAGUAGAGAAUACUAAGGGGCCGAGGUAACUCUCUCCAAGGAACUCGGCAAAAUGACCCCGUAACUUAGGGAGAAGGGGUGCCACCGAGAGGUGGUCGCAGUGAAGAGGCCCAGGCGACUGUUUAGCAAAAACAUAGGUCUCUGCAAACUCGAAAGAGGAGGUAUAGGGGCUGACGCCUGCCCAGUGCCGGAAGGUUAAAGAAGUUGGUCAGUCUUAGGAUGAAGCUAGCGACUGAAGCCCCGGUGAACGGCGGCCGUAACUAUAACGGUCCUAAGGUAGCGAAAUUCCUUGUCGGGUAAGUUCCGACCCGCACGAAAGGCGUAACGAUCUGGGCGCUGUCUCGGAGAGAGGCUCGGCGAAAUAGGAUUGUCUGUGAAGAUACGGACUACCUGCAUUUGGACAGAAAGACCCUAUGAAGCUUUACUAUAGCUUGGAAUUGUGUUCGGGCUUCCUGUGCGCAGGAUAGGUGGGAGGCGUAGAAGGUAUUCUUGUGGGGAUACUGGAGCCAACGGUGAGAUACCACUCUCAGGAGGCUAGAAUUCUAACUUAAUUAAGGACAGUUUCAGGUGGGUAGUUUGACUGGGGCGGUCGCCUCCAAAAAGGUAACGGAGGCGUACAAAGGUUCCCUCAGACUGGUUGGAAAUCAGUCGAAGAGUGCAAAGGCAGAAGGGAGCUUGACUGCGAGAAGUACAGUUCGAGCAGGGUGGAAACACGGUCUUAGUGAUCCGACGGUGCUGUGUGGAAGGGCCGUCGUUCAACGGAUAAAAGUUACUCUAGGAUAACAGGCUGAUCUCCCCCAAGAGUUCACAUCGACGGGGAGGUUUGGCACCUCGAUGUCGGCUCAUCGCAACCUGGGGCGGAAGUACGUCCCAAGGGUUGGGCUGUUCGCCCAUUAAAGCGGUACGUGAGCUGGGUCCAGAACGUCGUGAGACAGUUCGGUCCAUAUCCGAUGUAGGCGUGAGAAUAUUGAGAGGAGCCUUCCUUAGUACGAGAGGACCGGGAAGGACGCACCGCUGGUGUACCUGUUAUGAUGCCAAUUGUAAACGCAGGGUAGCCAAGUGCGGAGAGGAUAACCGCUGAAAGCGUCUAAGUGGGAAGCCCACCUCAAGAUGAGUAUUCUGGUGUAAGGUCACGGGAAGACGACCCGUAAAUAGGCACGAGGUGGAAGUGCAGAGAUGUAUGAAGCCGAAGUGUACUAAUAGACCGUCGGCUUG